rnacentral:rRNA from 1 species
UACGGGGGGAGCAAGCGUUGUUCGGAUUUACUGGGCGUAAAGGGCGCGUAGGCGGCCACCGCAGGUCGGUUGUGAAAUCUCUGGGCUUAACCCAGAAAGGUCAACCGAUACUGCGGGGCUAGAGUGCAGAAGGGGCAACUGGAAUUCUCGGUGUAGCGGUGAAAUGCGUAGAUAUCGAGGGGAACACCUGCGGCGAAGGCGGGUUGCUGGGCUGACACUGACGCUGAAGCGCGAAAGCUAGGGGAGCGAACGGG